rnacentral:sRNA from 1 species
GCGGAGGAAAAGAAACCAACAGGGAUUGCCUUAGUAACGGCGAGUGAAGCGGCAACAGCUCAAAUUUGAAAUCUGGCGUCUUUGGCGUCCGAGUUGUAAUUUGCAGAGGAUGCUUCGGCGUUGGCGCCGCCCAAAGUUCCUUGGAACGGGACGUCGCAGAGGGUGAGAGCCCCGUGUUCGGGCGGAUGCCUUCGCCGUGUGAAGCUCCUUCGACGAGUCGAGUUGUUUGGGAAUGCAGCUCAAAACGGGAGGUAAAUUUCUUCCAAAGCUAAAUACCGGCCGGAGACCGAUAGUGCACAAGUAGAGUGAUCGAAAGAUGAAAAGCACUUUGGAAAGAGAGUCAAACAGCGCGUGAAAUUGUUAAAAGGGAAGCGCUUGCGGUCAGAACUUGGCCGCCGUUGCUCGGGGAGGUCUUGCGCCUCCCUCGCUCUUCGGCGGCUGGGCCAGCAUCGGUUCGGGCGGCUCGAGAAAGGUCGCGGGAAUGUAGCUCCCUCCGGGGAGUGUUAUAGCCCGCGGCGCAAUAGGGCCCGCCUGGACCGAGGUCUGCGCAUUUGCUCGGAUGCUGGCGUAAUGGCCCCAAGCGGCCCGUCUUGAAACACGGACCAAGGAGUCUAACAUUCGUGCGAGUGUUCGGGUGUCAAACCCGUGCGCGCAAUGAAAGUGAACGUAGGUGGGAACCCCUCGUGGGCGCACCAUCGACCGAUCCUGAUGUCUUCGGAUGGAUUUGAGUAUGAGCACGUAUGUUGGGACCCGAAAGAUGGUGAACUAUGCCUAAGCAGGGCGAAGCCAGAGGAAACUCUGGUGGAGGCUCGCAGCGGUUCUGACGUGCAAAUCGAUCGUCAAAUUUGGGUAUAGGGGCGAAAGACUAAUCGAACCAUCUAGUAGCUGGUUCCUGC